rnacentral:misc_RNA from 1 species
UCCCGCUCAUAACACGCACACGCCGAUCCCCCCAACACCACCACCAUGCCGCCAUAGCUUCGCCCACCAGCCCCAUGCCCACCGCACUGCGCCCCUUACCAAGAGCCACUGGCUCAGCAUAUGCCCGAUGCCUGACGUGGUGAGACGCAGUGCUGCAUCACAUACUGGAGAAUGCCUAACAGCAGCCAGGACGCUCACGGGGCGACCAUCACACGCAGGUCUGAGACGAGUGCGAUGUCACGUUAUGAAGCCACCGUAUGCGUGAGCGAAUCCACUCUUCUGGUGGCCGGUGCGGGAGGAAAGCCGGGCGAGUUCAACAGCCGCACGCUCGAUGGACGAUUAAGGUCAUGCGACAGAGGCACUGUCGGCAUUUUUGCGCGAGACGUGUUUCUCCCGCACGCGCAUGCAGCGGAUGAUCGGCCACUGAGCCAGCGUCGACGACGCACAGCGGACAUCCCUCGAACGCCGUCAUGCGGAGGGCAGUCGGCGCGAGCUGCGUGUGCAGAACGAAGCGGCCUUUAUAUCCGAACACAUGACCAAUGCCGCUCAGCGGGGCCGUCCGCACUCGGUGUGCUCCAGAUGAGCAGGUGCAGUGGCUUUCCCUAUGACACCAUGGAAGCACGGCCACAGCGCGCCACCCGCAUCUGCAUUCCAGGUGGCGACGGAGCCUCUUGCGGGGGACUGCCAGCAUCGUGGCCAGGUUUUGCAAGCCUUGAGCGGACUGCAUCGAGCAUAGGGGUGGGUGGGUGAGCGAGGCAAGCCCAUCUGCAAGAUGGCCGACGCCGAGAGAGGGGCUUCACGUAGCAGGGUUGGACAUCAAGGAUCUGAAAGCCCAUCACGCGCUAGCGGCACAUGCGGCCAGGUGUGUUCUCGCCUGCGACCCGGCGGUGGACCAGCCGGAAUUCCGUGCCCCGAGGGGAGGGUGGCGCGUGGCGGUGGCGGUUUGCAUCGACAGCGCCCGUGGAUCCGGCCCGUGCCGCUUUUUGGGCGAGCAGUUGGCCACCUGGACGCUGUAUACAUCCGUCGGUGUCACCGUUGACCACGGUCAGCAGACGGUGCAACGGGGCCCGACGUUUCUGUGACGCCUUCGCGAUCACCCUCGAUGGGGUGCGAUGGCAGUGGCGUACAUGGAGCGGCUUGUGUCGAAGCUUCUCCAGGCGUCGAGUGUCACGGGCGUCCCAGCGCAUGGGUGCCGUUGGGCGGCCCAGUGAGCACGCCGCUGUUUGCCGUCGCUGAACCGUUGCCUCCUGCAGGGCGCAAGGCUGGCCCGUCUGCCAACCUCGGUGACAUGUGAGCGGGAAGUUUGGAUGGGGAAAGAGGGGGAUUUGGGAAGCCGCGCGGUCGCACCCCCGCGAUGUGUGCUGCCGGGAGCGGUCCUUGUAUCGGACGUGUUGUUGCUCGGAUGGGGUGCCAUGCUGUUUCGCCCCCACGGUGUGGGAGGGGUUGCUGCAUCCGGGGGUCGGUAGAGGUGUCGCCCCCCUCCCAUUGCAACGGUCAAGAUGCAGCGCUGUGCUGCACGGCGUGCAGGCGUUCGUACCGCGCCUCGUCGGACACGUGGCGAUCCGCAGUAGAUAACGCGACUGUGGUGGCCGCGACCCGGAAGCGCUGCACCGAGCCAGAUGCCCUCUAGGGUGAGCGGGCUUCAGCGCUGCGUCUUCUGCCGUAGCAACUACCUCCCCCCCCACUCAGACUACGCCAGAAGACAUGCGCUCAGCAGGCAGCCCGGAAAGGCACAUUGUUUUGCUGGCAGCUACCGACGCACGGGGACUUGGUGAUAGGGGAUCGAACUUGCGGAAAAGGGCGCGUUGGAGGCAGGAACCUCUCACUGCCAUGCCGAGGGUAGAACCACCGAACGAAGCCCGAAAAAA